GGAAUAUUGGUCAAUGGGCGCGAGCCUGAACCAGCCAAGUAGCGUGCAGGAAGACUGCCCUAUGGGUUGUAAACUGCUUUUAUCAGGGAAUAAAGUGCGGCACGUGUGCUGUUUUGUAUGUACCUGAUGAAUAAGGACCGGCUAAUUCCGUGCCAGCAGCCGCGGUAAUACGGAAGGUCCGGGCGUUAUCCGGAUUUAUUGGGUUUAAAGGGAGCGCAGGCUGAUGAUUAAGCGUGACGUGAAAUGUAGCCGCUCAACGGCUGAACUGCGUCGCGAACUGGUUAUCUUGAGUGAGUUCGAUGUUGGCGGAAUUCGUGGUGUAGCGGUGAAAUGCUUAGAUAUCACGAAGAACUCCGAUUGCGAAGGCAGCUGUCCAGUCCGUAACUGACGCUAAUGCUCGAAGGUGCGGGUAUCGAACA
rnacentral:rRNA from 1 species